GGGAGGCAGAGUAAGAUGUAGGGCUAGCUUCCAAAAGGAGAAUGACUCUUGGAUGAUUGUCACUUCCUGAGAAGUAGUGCUAUAUGGCUAGAGACUCUAUCUGCAGCUGGUGGUGUAAGGAUGCACCAAGAUACACUGGAGCGCCCAGCUUAUCCCUGCUCUGUUUUGGUG